AGCAUCAGAGAACGAACCUAUUGAGUUGUAUUGGGAUUGUGCCACUGAGCGUUAUGGGGUUUCUAUGUGUUGAGAAACUUGGUGACAUUGUUUUAAGAGUGAAAAGUGAUCCUGAAGCAUUUUUGGGAUUGUAUUCAAUUCAAAUGAGUUUUUUCAAAUUACAGGAUACUGAGGAGGUAUAUUAUAAAUAGUUUUCUUGGUUUUAGAACUUUAUUUUGGUGUCCAGUAAAAGCAAGGCAAAUUUAAAUAAAUUGUCAAUUUAAAUGGCUAGCUAGCAACUGUACCAGAGCAAGUGUGCAGUUUUCUGCGCCAGAAUGGUUUAAUAGACAACGCUGCUGAAAAUGUUGUGGACUUUUUGUCGAAGAACCCCUUUCAUUCUCUGGGGUACACGGAAAAGGUGCGAGUUAAAAUAUCAGCUGAUCAAAAGUAUAGAUUGUUAACAGGGAGCCUUUCAUCAAGCCGUCUGUAUUGCACGCCUUGCCUGCGUUUUUGUGCAAGGGCAACUACAAGGAGCUUGCAGAGAGGUGAUGACUACUCAACUCCACUUCCUUUGUCAACUUUCUCCUGACAUGAACUGAAGCCAUGUCUCAUGUGCCCACUCUUCCAGUGGCACAUUGAAUGCUUCCCCUCCAAGCACUUCAAAUCCUGUCCUGCACUGAACUCAUGCCUCAUACCCUCAUUCAUUCACUGCUGUGAUCCCUUUCCAACACAGUGUAAGUAGCCCUCUCAUUCCCAUUCCCCAUAACAUGGUACUAUAAAUGUCUUUAUUAAAUGCUUUAGGUUCAAAUAAUUAGAAUUUUUGACGAUUUUCGAAACACACUUCGUCGUCUCCGUGCGUUACUCGCCUAUACCGUGGGUCUCCCAUGAUCCUCAAUUUUUCAAGUCACCAACCUCCUCCACUGGUUCUACCCCCAAAACAUAAGACUGCUGAACAAGACUUGCUAAAUAGCUAAUGAAAUGGCUUCCCGUACUACCUGUGUUGACCCAUUUCUGCACUAACUCCCUCUCACUGACUCUACCCACCCACUCAUACUGACACCCCAACACACACAACAUAUGCCCACACAACACGCGCACACGUGUACUGACGCCACACACAUUCACUCACUGUGGCUAUUGUCAAUUAUCUAUCCCUUUGCUUAGUCACUUUAUACCUACCAAUAUGUACAUAUAGCUACCUCAAUUACCUCGUACCCCUGCACAUCAACUCAUUAUUCACUGUGCAUUUAUUCCUCGUGUCUCUAUUUCUAUUUUGUUUUAUCUUUAACUCUGGAUUGUUGGAAAAGGCCUGUAAGUAACCAUUUCACUGUUAGUCUACAGCUGUUGUUUAAGAAAAGUACAAAAGUACAGAACAUUUGACAGUUUACAACUGAACGUCAUCAGUAAACACUGGACCUUAAAGUUAACUUUUAUUGGGCCAGCUCCUUAGAUGUCUCUCCAAGGGUGUGUGUGUGUGUGUGUGUGUGUGUGUGUGUGUGUGUGUGUGUGUGAAUGAGGAACUGUAGAGAGCAAACACUUUUGUGUUGCAAUACUGGACUCUGUCUCUAUCCAAUACACAAAACAAAAUAAUGAAAACAUAUUUUAACAAAAUCUCUUUGGAUUGUAUGAACUAAAAGAUUGAUGAAUUGUUCUUGGUAUGC